CAUACUUCAUUGCCAACUCCUCUCGAUCCCAUCUCUACUCCAAUACGAGCCGCCGCCGAGAUCAGAGACGAUCCGCCGCCGCCGAGGACCGAUUGGAGCCGCCGCCGGCGCUGGCCUCCUGCCCUCGUUCGGCGCCGCUGCCGCUCCAUUCCUGCUGCCUUGCCCCUCUCUUCCCUCCAAGCUUGCCACCGGCGACGAAGCGUACGGCACCGCCACGGCCGUGCUCGAUCGCCUCCAGGAACCCGCCACACGCGCCGAGGCGAGGGACUCCUGGGCUCCUUCCAUCGCCGCUUUGCCGAUGACCCCGCCGCCGGGCAGGAGGAGUGCUUCCGCGCCUCCAGGAACCCUCCACGGGCAUCAAGGUGAAGAAUCCUUUCCACCUACAGAGGGUGCCGUGCGGGUUUCGCCGGUCUGUGGUCGGCUGCGAUGAAUUGGGCGUCCUGCUGUCUUUUCUUCAUGUGGGUGCUAUUUGUUCGUGUCGACGGAGGUACCCGUGCUGGGGUUCGUGUGGAUUUAAGAUUAGCCGGCAUGGUUGAUUGGGAUUAAGAUCAGACUAUUCCUAAACAUGGCAAAUGUUGCCUGGAUGAUUGGGAUUAAGAUUGACUAAUCCUAACCAUGCCAAUGUUGUGCUUGCAGUGCUUCUUUGGCACCGGCACAAUUCUGGUCGAGUACCUACUAUUCAGGUUUGUCUUCUUCAGCCUGUAGCUCCUAAACAUCAGAUGGCUGAUUUUUGGAUGAUGCAGGCAUGAAUGGGGAUUCCUAAAUUUGUGCUUCAGUGUCGAAUUAUUGUUGCUUAUACAUAGGUUCAGAAUAUGCGUCCAUUGCUCAGAAAAAAUGCAUAAUACAUCUAUCAUAUAUACAAUUUUGAAGGAUGAUUUUGUGAUCAAUUUCAUACCACAAGAAAUGAUCAAAAUGAGCAAUUAUCGACAUGGCUGAUGCUACCAAUCAUAGCCAUGUUCUUGGUUCUUACAAAAUUACUCGCGCUGAAGUAGUGUGUCUUUAUGUUGGUCCUUCAGUAUUUGUAAUGUUCUAUUUAAUUUAGUACUCUUUGAUUUGAAUUUCAUCCUUCUAACAAUCUUUCUAAUGUUUUCUCUUGCAUCAUAUAUGUGCAAUGCAUUAAAUAUGGAUGACAUUGUCCUGCACUUUUAUUGUUAAAUGUUCAUUAUUUUUCUCAUUGUUAUGUAGACUCAUGAUUUUUCAGAACAUCAAUUUUCCUAGAGGUCUUGUUUUGGUUUGAAACCUGAGUUGUAAUGGAAAAGUGCCAUCUUGCUAGAACUGAUUCCCAUGCCCAACUAAAUAGCGCCAUCUUUAUAUAACACUCAUAAGCAAUUUUGGAAAUUGCUACAUUGCAUCUAGGUGACAUUGUUUUCCAUUAUCAAGCUGUAAAACCUUCAUACAGAGCGCAUAUAUAUGGUUUGGAGCCAUUAGUAUUGCAUUAAUUUGUUGCACAUACAUGGGAACUUGUUUUCUAUGAUCAGAAGCUAAUUCAGUAAGAUUCUCUUCAGUUUUCUGGAAUCGCCUUGAGGACGCAGACACCAAUUUUGCAAUUGCUGCUUAUUCCUUUUGGUAUUAUCAAGUUCUAUGUGAUAACCAUCGAGAACAGCGAGCCAAAUAUGAUUCCUUCUUAAAUUAUCAAGGAUAUUAUGCAGAUUAACUUCCAAUGUAUACUGUCCUAUUGUUAACUUUCAAUGUAUAUUGGUGUUCUUGUCGCCAACCAUUAGAAUAUUAUUAACUGGAAAAAAUCUAUCAACGUUUUUGUAGGUAAGAAGUUCAGGAAUCAAGAUGAACUGGCUUUCUACAAGUAAUUAAACUGAUGAUGAACCAUUGUCUUGUCUUCAUUGUUAAGUACAUUUACAGGUUAGGCCUGUUGUCUUUGGCCGAGUGUUAGUUUUAUUAACAAGGAUAUUACAAAAAAAAAAUAGAAGGAUUUGGAAGUUUUACACUACAAAAUAAUGGUAGUAGCAUGUUUGGUGCUGAAAGGGUUCUGCUGCAGUGCAAGUUACUUGAGAGAAGAAAUUGUUCAACUUAAAUAAAAUAUGUUCAUUGAUCCAGUGGUAAGCUAUUCUGAAUUCAUUUCAUGAUGUGGCUGCUCAUGUCUGAUUCUUGCUCAUCUGGUGUUCAUUUACACACUUGGUAAAGAUUCUACAGUUCUUUUCCAGACUUGGCCAUGGUAAUCAGGAUUCACGGUUUCACUAUUCUCAGUUCGUUUAUGCCAGGCUUGGUCAAGACUAUGCUACAAAAUGGCUUGAAGUGGUGGCUCACUACUACUGUUAUUUCCAUGUUGUUCUUCUAAACUCCACUUCUCUGUUAUAGGCACCUUUUUGUUAAACAACUCCACUUCUAUGUUGUAGGUACCUUAUAGGCAACGGAUGCAGGGUAAAGAGAGUUGCCAUACAUUUUUACGAGUAGAAUUGUGGCAUGCUUUGUUCAAGAUCUGCUGCAGUCAGUAAAUAUUUGUAUGGUCUGCAAUUCUGCAUACUGCUAAAGGAGUUACAACUGAGCACUGUACUCGGAGAAAUUACCAAGGAAUGAAGGUUUAAUGCCUGGACUAUCAUGCUGUCUACUUGGUUUCAGCUGUACAUAUCUUAAUACUUGACCUUCAGUGAGGACUCGUUUCUUAGGAGAAAUAGUUGGAGAGCAACAAUUGAUUGGUAAGUCUUGCUUGCUAUUAGUUGCAUAAUUAAUAUUGAAAUUCGUUAGUUUGCUUCAAGGUUACAAAGCCAGCAAUGAAUAAGACUAUCAUUAUUAGGAUUGAAGGAUGGCUCAAUGUUGUUGAUAGUAGUAAGAAACACUUGCAAAUGUAUGUCUCGCCUAUUUAAAUGUGUGCUCUAAAAAUAAAUGUACACAACUGUCGCAAUAUUGUUUAGUACAAUAUUUGAAUUAGAAGUAGUAGUUUUAUGUUUUUGUUUAGUUUUAUAGUAUCUCAGUUAUGAAAUAAAUCCAAGCCUUCCUCCAAAUAGGUUUUUUUGCCUUGAUUUUAUAUUUAAUUAUUUUUUGUAUUUUAUAAUAUUCAAACAAAAUGGUUUGUAGAGUCAAUGUUCUCUGACUUAGGUAGCUUUAAUUUAAUGCACUGACGAAGCGUUUUACCUGAGACGAGUGCUGGGAGAGGCUGAUUAGGAUUGCAACGAGGGGGAGACGUCAAUGCUGCCGCUGGCGACCGUUACCGCGACCAUGGCUGUGGGAGUGAGGCGCCGGCGACCAUGGCAUCGACCGUGUUGGCCCAUGGUGUUUCUGACUUUCCACGCUCCGUUCCAGGUAGCUGCCAUUCCGAUUGAUCCCCUCCAGGUGAGUGAGCAGCUUACACUCAACCGAUGCAGGCAUCCAAAGGUUCGACUAGGUGGCUAGGAACUCAGCUGGGCUCACUUCCAUUUGCAUAAGUUUCUGCAACAUCGGAUACUCCGGGAAGUUCAUGCAUGUUUGUUUUCUGAUAUGGUUUUUCUCAUAAUGCAGGGCACAAAGAUAGGUCUCCUUUUAGUUACCAUAGAUUUUAGUUUUUUUCCUAUUUACUGUCUUCUCCACUUUCUUGUCAGAUUAAGCAACUAACAAAUGAAUUUGUGCACAGUUAUACCAUUUUUGCACUCAUUUAUGGGGCCAUCUAUGUUGAGUAUGUGUGUUCUGCUAUUCUGCAACUUAAAUCAUUAGGUAGUGAGAAGAUGCGAUAGUUUGAACCUCCUCCACUUCUUCUAUACAAGAUUGGUCAUUUUCCAAAGGGAUGGAAGUAGCUGUUUAGAGGAUCCACUCACAUGAGGUACACCUCAUAAUUUUAAUGUGAACUUAAUAUUUUGUAUAGCUAUCCAAAAUCUGUGGAUGAACUGGGUCUUGUGUUGCUUAAAGAGUUUGAGCUCGGACUAAUGUUAGUAUUCUUUGUCACAUUGAACUCGGUAUAUCAAAUGGUUAUAUGGUAGAUUACACAACAACAUCAACACAGGCAACAUUGAUUAGGUUGGUGUGCAUAAGAUGGUCCUCAGUGAGGAAGUCCAUGACAGCCUGCUAAUCCUAGGUGUCAAGGCCUGUCGAAUCCGAUCACGACAAUCUCAUUGUGUGCUAGAUAAGGCAAGAGUUUCGCACUUGUUCCACUGCCACCAUUGCCACUAUUUGCCGCCGGCGCUUGAUGCAGCGGAGUGUGUAAAAGGAGAAUGUGAAUAAGGAAGUGUGCACGGGAGUAGUCCGUACCUUUUUAUCACAGCGAGGGAGUUAACCCACACUAGCUCCACGAUCUGCUGACCAGCGGUUGCCUGGUUCGAGCCGAUCAACAAUUUCCAUUGAGAGCGAGGCGGUGCAGGGCACCUCGUGGAUGACCCUGUGUAUGCUUCAUAACCAAAACAUAGUCUUCUUUUGGUUAUCUGAUUUUCUUCCAUAUUUGUCCCAAUAAAAUUUGGCCCCAUGGUAACUCACAGGCACAUACCUCGACUAUAAUUAUUUCAAAAAAGAGACAAAAUAUCGCAUAAUAUAUAAAUCAUUUCAUAUAUCAUGGCAGCAAAACCACAUUGUGGUGGUCGCCCUCAGCUACGACAGUGUGCAUUUCUUAGAACUGGGAAUCGUCUGAUUCAGUGUGGAGGAGAGGAGGGGCGGACGACGCCAUGCAGGGAAGGAGAGAGUAGUGAGAGGAAGUUGCGAUCUGAAUGAUGUGGUGCAAGGGGGGAGGCGGCAGUGAGAUACCGUGGAGGGGAGACAUGACAACGAAGAUGAUGUGGCGAGGAGAGCAUGAUGGGGUAAAUGAGGGUAUGAAAGAGAUAAAGAUGUAUUAUGUUGAUGUUCAAAAGGAAUCCAUUCGACAAGAAUGUUGACGCGAUGUUGUUGGAAGGGAACAAAAAAUCAUCGAGUUAUAUACAACAAUACAUGUAUAUAUACAAUCAGAACAAAAAUUAAAAUGUCCGUGGCAAUGCACGGGCAUUGUACUAGUUAAGAAUAAAUUCUAACCAUA